rnacentral:rRNA from 1 species
UACAGAGGUCUCAAGCGUUGUUCGGAUUCAUUGGGCGUAAAGGGUGUGUAGGUGGCGCCGUAAGUCGGGUGUGAAAUUUCGGAGCUUAACUCCGAAACUGCAUUCGAUACUGCGGUGCUUGAGGACUGGAGAGGAGCCUGGAAUUCAUGGUGUAGCAGUGAAAUGCGCAGAUAUCAGGAAGAACACCCGUGGCUAAGGCGGCUCUCUAGUACGGUACUGACGCUGAGACGCGAAAGCGUGGGGAGCGAACAGG